rnacentral:tRNA from 1 species
UCCCUUGUAGUUCAGUCAAUAAAGAAUCUGCCUGCAAUGCAGGAGACCCAAGUUCAAUUCCUGGCUGGGGAA